rnacentral:rRNA from 1 species
CCUACGGGAGGCUGCAGUGGGGAAUAUUGCACAAUGGGGGAAACCCUGAUGCAGCGACGCCGCGUGAGUGAUGAAGGAUUUCGGUAUGUAAACCUCUGUCAGCAGGGAAGAAAAUUACGGUACCUGACCAACAAUCCCUGGCUAACUCCGUCCCAGCAGCCGCGGUCAUACGUAGGGGGCAAGCGUUAGCCGGAUUUACUGGGUGAAACGGGAGCGUAGACGGGAGGGCAAGUCUGGAGUGAAAGGCGGGGGCUCAACCUCCGGACUGCUCUGGAAACUGGCAGGCUGGAGUGCAGGAGAGGAGAGUGGAAUUCCUGGUGUAGCGGUGAAAUGCGUAGAUAUUAGGAGGAACACCAGUGGCGAAGGCGACUUACUGGACUGUAACUGACGUUGAGGCGCGAAAGCGUGGGGAGCAAACAGGAUUAGAUACCCUAGUAGUC